AAUAAACACUGAUUUUUGGAAAUGAUUAUUGAGCUGACUCUGGCGACACUGCAAUGCCAGGCAACUCGUGGCGGAACCGGAGCAAGCCCCGGAUUUCCACCUAUUUUCAAAAAUCAGGUUAAUAUACUGGAUUCUCAAUGAGAAUCGUACCAGAUAUUAAGCUGAU